UUAGAUACCCUAUUAUACUAAUAUUUACCUAGAUUAUUAAUAGUUAUUUUCUUUAAACUUGAAGAAUUUGGCGGUGAUUUAGUCUAGUUAGAGGAACCUGUUUUUUAAUCGAUAAACCACGUAGAAUUUUACUCGUUUUAAGAGUUCAUAUACCGUCAUUAUUAGAUAAUUUUUAAAAAAUAUUAAUUAUUAAAAUUUAAGAGUUAAAUAAAAUUAGAUCAAGGUGUGGCCAAUAAAUGAGUUAAAAUGGGUUACAAUAAAAUUUAUUUAUUACGAAUUUUUUAUUGAAAAAUAAAUAUAAAGGAGGAUUUAAUUGUAAUUGAAUUUUAAUAAGAUUUAAAGAUAUAAGCUCUAAAUCAUGUACAUAUCGCCCGUCGC
rnacentral:rRNA from 1 species